GAGAACAGAACGCUGUCGUCCUACACAACUUCCUCCCUCGCGUCUCGUUCUUUUCUUCCCCCGACUGGCGGCUAGGGUUCCCAUCGGCGGUACCGCAGCCGCCGCCACUGGAGAAGGCGGCAAGGCGCCCUUCUGAGAUGCUCUUCUCCUCCAAACUUUUCGUCUUCGCAGCAAGGUGUCAUUCCAUCCCGUCACCAUGGUGGUUGCAGAGGAGGGGAGGAAGGGGAUGGCAUCGAGGUGCCGACGGAGCACAUAGGUCGAGGCGGCAAGAUGCAGAGGUGCGGGUGGUGCGAACGGAGAGGCAACUCCAUACCCGCGCGCAGUCGCCUGCCCUCUCCUUCCUCCUCUGCCUUCCCUCUCCUCCAGUCAGCGCCGCCACCACUGCCACGCCUCGCCGCUACACUAUUCCUGCAGCGGUGACCCCGUGGAGGAGCAGAUCGACCACAACGGUUUAAAGUUCUCUGCUAGGUUUGGAGCUACUACUCCAUCUUCGAUCCCAGCCAUCUCGCACCCCCCUGAAAAUUUCUGGAGAUAGCAAGACAUGAACUACUGACCGUCUCGGGCUGACAGCUGAGGGAGAGGGGGAGGACAGCUGCCGCUGCUUCUCUCGAGCCCUUGUUGCUGGUGUGGUGGAUCUGCUCCGAGCCCCUCAAGCCACCCAUCUUCAAGAUUGUCGCAAGGUUGAGACUAGAGUCCAACUCUGAGCUCUGAGCUCCAGGGGAGUGACCAACUCAUGGCGUGGUGUCUGCUUGCUGUAGGUAUACUCAUCCGCAAUACCCAGCUCUCUUCUCGUGCACUUCUUCUUGAUCAUCAUGUCUCUGAAUCCCGCAUGUAUGUUCUCUCUUCCUUCACCAUCCUUCUAGGAGUAUUCGACAAGUAAUCUCUUUUUCUCAAAUAUCCAUAGUUCACAGGACUGGUGAUUGCUUAGCAAAGCAUUUGAACAAUUUAACUGAUGCUCAUGAUUGUAAACUGCAUGAUACAGAGCACCCUAACGAGUUUAUAUAUGUCAUCAUUGAAGAAAAUGUGAUCAGCGAAGGAGUUUCCUUUUAUUAAAAUAAAUUGGAAUAUAACUUUGAUUUAGUAAUACGCUCUUCAUGAUUUAUUUUCGUAUGGCUUCAGUCUGAGGGCAAUGAGCACUGGAGGUUUCAUAGCCACUCUUGAGUUAAUGCUGACCUUGCCUAAAAAAAUGCCCACAUCCCAUAUAGGCCAGUAUUAUUCAAUAUCCACAUGCCUCAACAUGUACAGUGCACAGUUACUUACAGAAGUAAACCCUCAGCUCACUCUAACCUUUUGUUGUCAAAUGUAGGAACUCCAAGCUAACUCAUAUAUCAAUCCUAUUUUCCUGUAACUAUUUUAGGUGCAUCUACUUGAUUUCUCCUUUUGGUUUAGGGAAAGUUUCAAGGAUCACUACUUUUGGAUUCUUAAUUGAUGUUUUUUGUGUGGCAAUCAAACGAGAGAGCAUCCAAUAUCUGUUACCUACUCUCUCCGUUCCAAAAUAGAUGACUCAACUUUAUACUAUUUUGGAACGGAGGGAGUACAUUGGAGGCCGAUGCAUUAGAUUUCACCAUCUUCAUCUAUUUUGUUUCAAGAUCAUUGUUAUUUUGAUUCAAGAUAUUUUCUCAUUGUGAUGGAAGAUAGAAAAGGAUGGUUGUAGAAAGACAAUUAUUUUACUUGGAGUUUUUUUUCUGUGUUUGCAUUGAAAUAAUAAUGUUCAACAGCAGAUAUAGCUUGCAGUCAAGAUACCACACAAAUAGAAUUCAGUUUUACUUAAAGGAGCUUGCCAACCUAAUUUUGGUUCUGGCUGCAGCACAAUGCAGAUUUUGAUUUGGUUUGCUUGCAAGAGAUUUGUUAUUUUGAUUAUUUUAUUCACUAUUCUAUAUGAUUGUCCUUUACUUUGGAACUAAACAAGCUCCAUUUUCUGUCUUUUACAUUGCAUUCUUUCUUGGUUAACUGAACUUUUCUGUUCUCAUUUCUUCCAUUUAAUGACGUGAAUAUUUUUGAUGAGACGAUAGAUGUUCUUUCGGUCUUCUUGGUUAAAUGAACUUCUCUUUUCUUCAUGUUUGGCCACAAUGAAUACUUGCUCAUACCGAACUAUAAUUGCAAAUGGUUUGCGCAUGAACGAGCAUAGGCUGCAUUGCAUUCUUUUGUGGGAGAACAACAAGGAACUGGAGACGAAAUUGGAAGACAACAGGUCUAUCCUCUGAACUUUUUUUAUUUGUACCAGAUCUUAAUAGUUUGAGAUGUGUAAAUCUUAUGUCUUCGUUUACAUGACAGUUGCAUGUUGAUAUAUAGCAUCGUUGUUUAUUUUAUACGUUCGAUAUCUCUUGUCAUUUCAAAUUUUCAAUACUGAGUCCACCAUCUUCCCCGAGUCAGUGGAAACCUACAGAGCUGCAAUUUUUUAACAGACUGUCAUAUUAAGCUAUUGUCCAAUGUUUAUAUUGGUAAGUGGCAACAUCAUCUAUCUUAUAGUUAGUGGCAUUUUUGCUUCGCAGGGAGUGAGUUGAAGGUACCUGAACAAGUCACCUGUACGUAUUGUCCCAUGUGCUGUCUGCUUACAUAGCUCUGUUGCCACAGAAGGAUGCAAACAUGAGUUCUGCAUGAGAUGUGUGCCACGUACAUUUGCUUGACCAGCUACACAUUGGUGAACCCAACAGGCGCUAUUAUCGUGCCCACUCUGUCGGCACCCGAUCAUCUCGUCGUCAUUCUGCACGACGAGCCUAGCGGUUUCCUCGGACUUCACCGCCCCCGGGGACCGGGCCACCGAGCUCCGUUGUGGUGCUGGUGCCCACAUGUUGUCGAUGGGCUUGAUGAGAACGGGAUGAUGCUACCGUUGGUGCGGAGCCAUUGCGCCAUCGUCAACCACGCACGACGGGAGUAGCUCUUUGAGGAGAUUGAGACUGAGGAUGACAAGGAGUUGAACCAGCACGAUGCCGAUGCCAAAAAGUCACAUGUCGACAGCUCUCGCGGGUUGGCGCUGCCGCCAACGACGACGAGGCAAGCGGCUUCGGCUCGGGGCGCGUCGAAGUAGUCUUUUUUCUUUGGCUUUUAGUCUUUAUUAUGCUCGGUGUCAAUCUUUUACGUUGUAAAAAGCCUUGCAUACACUUGUGCCAAGAAUGGACCAAACAAGAAAAUGAAAGGGGCGCUAUCCCACCUCGCACCGCCAAGGUUCCACCUAGCCCCAACCACUAGUAUCUUUUACAACUCGUUUGGCUCCUGUCUUUUGACUCGGAUUUCACGGAUUUCAUUUCCGAAUUCCGGCCCUGACUUGUUUGGGUGUCACGAAACUAUACCCAUAAUUUCAUUUCCUAAUUCUAUCGAAUCCAUCUAUAUAUGGCCUAAUGCGUUGUUCAAGGCUAAUUUUGACCAAAUGUUAGAGCAAUAAUAUAUAUCAUGCAAGUUACACGAAGUA